rnacentral:rRNA from 1 species
AGAGUUUGAUCAUGGCUCAGAUCGAACGCUGGCGGCAGGCCUAACACAUGCAAGUCGAGCGGCAGCGGGAAAGUAGCUUGCUACUUUUGCCGGCGAGCGGCGGACGGGUGAGUAAUGCCUGGGGAUCUGCCCAGUCGAGGGGGAUAACUACUGGAAACGGUAGCUAAUACCGCAUACGCCCUACGGGGGAAAGCAGGGGACCUUCGGGCCUUGCGCGAUUGGAUGAACCCAGGUGGGAUUAGCUAGUUGGUGAGGUAAUGGCUCACCAAGGCGACGAUCCCUAGCUGGUCUGAGAGGAUGAUCAGCCACACUGGAACUGAGACACGGUCCAGACUCCUACGGGAGGCAGCAGUGGGGAAUAUUGCACAAUGGGGGAAACCCUGAUGCAGCCAUGCCGCGUGUGUGAAGAAGGCCUUCGGGUUGUAAAGCACUUUCAGCGAGGGGGAAAGGUUGGUAGUUUAACUGCCAGAGAGACGUACUCGCAGAAGAGCACCGCAUUCG